UGAGCACUUUUAACAGGUCCUGGCUUUGUGCAGUAGGCCAGGAUUUGGUAGCUGGUGCUUAAAUUAAAACUCCCUAUAGCGAAAACCACAGGCUGAGUGUGCCAUGUUGGGCAUUAAUAGGGAGAACAUCU
rnacentral:snoRNA from 1 species